GUUGUAACUACCGUUAGCUGAGGAGCCGGCAGUGGCUAAUAUAAGCGCGGUGCUGCGAGGAAAGUUCGAAAAUAAGUUAUAAAGGACCUGAAACAGGGCAGAGUUAUGGGGUCGUCUGGGUUCUGGUGAGAGUCCGGCUACCAGCUCAUGCAGCUGAGUGUGGAAGUUUGGAGAGGAGCUGACCACAGAAGGAGCUGAGAGAGCAGAGGAGCUGACCACAGAAGGAGCUGAGAGAGCAGAG